rnacentral:tRNA from 5 species
GCGGAGGUGGCGGAAUGGCAGACGCGCAUGCUUCAGGUGCAUGUACUCGAAAGAGUGUGAGGGUUCAAAUCCCUUUCUCCGCA